GUUUUGCAAAACCAGUAUAUCCAGGACAAACUCUACAAACUGAGAUGUGGAAGGAAGGAAACAGAAUUCAUUUUCAAACCAAGGUCCAAGAAACUGGAGACAUUGUCAUUUCAAAUGCAUAUGUGGAUCUUGCACCAACAUCUGGUACUUCAGCUAAGACACCCUCUGAGGGCGGGAAGCUUCAGAGUACCUUUGUAUUUGAGGAAAUAGGACGCCGCCUAAAGGAUAUUGGGCCUGAGGUGGUGAAGAAAG
rnacentral:misc_RNA from 1 species